UGGAAGCAAAGGUAAAAUAACAGACACUGCACUGGCCUUUGGUUCUGAAAACCACCCUAGGAAGUACAAUUAUCCUACUUGCCAGAGAGGAGGCUGUAGCUGGAGGAUGGGGGAGGGAACAGGUACCAGGGAGAAACCUAUAUGACAACUGAGAAACCUUUAGGAGAGCUGUCCCAGAACUGAAGACAUUUUGGUUGAACUCUUAACCACAGGGAGACUAGCAGACUUCUUCCCACCUGCAGAGAUAGCUACAGAUACAAAUAAGGAAGGUCUUGGCUGAAAAUGUGCCUCAGCCAAUUCCUUCAUAGCUUAGAGCCCUCCACACAUCCUGUUCCAUGUGGCUUUCUGAACACCUGCCUGUGCUCUGCAGUGGCAGUGUCCAUAGGGAUGCCCUCACCAGCAUCCGAAGCUGCAGGUUCUGCAGAUGCAGAAGAGUUUGGUGAACAUCAGGGUUCAGUUUGCUUACAGGAAAACCAACCAACCAACCAACCAACCAACCUCUCAAGCUGCAGCCAUCAUUUGCCAUUUAGGAUAACUCUGACCCGCCUCUUUGUUUUCUCCUGAGAUCUGUGGUAAGGGUAAAGGAAUCUGGAGAACAGCAGUGUGAGGCUGAGAGGGAA
rnacentral:lncRNA from 1 species